UAGGGAAUAUUGGUCAAUGGGCGAGAGCCUGAUGCAGCAAUGCCGCGUGUGUGAAGAAGGCCUGCGGGUUGUAAAGCACUUUCAAUAGUGAGGAAAAGUUGUAGGUUAAUACCCUGCAACCCUGACGUUAACUAUAGAAGAAGCACCGGCUAACUCCGUG
rnacentral:rRNA from 1 species